CCUCCGGGAGGCAGCAGUGAGGAAUAUUGGUCAAUGGGCGCGAGUCUGAACCAGCCAAGUAGCGUGAAGGAUGACUGCCCUACGGGUUGUAAACUUCUUUUAUAAAGGAAUAAAGUGAGGCACGUGUGCCUUUUUGUAUGUACUUUAUGAAUAAGGAUCGGCUAACUCCGUGCCAGCAGCCGCGGUAAUACGGAGGAUCCGUGCGUUAUCCGGAUUUAUUGGGUUUAAAGGGAGCGUAGAUGGGUUGUUAAGUCAGUUGUGAAAGUUUGCGGCUCAACCGUAAAAUUGCAAUUGAUACUGGCAGUCUUGAGUACAGUAGAGGUAGGCGGAAUUCGUGGUGUAGCGGUGAAAUGCUUAGAUAUCACGAAGAACUGCGAUUGCGAAGGCAGCUUACUGGACUGCCACUGACAUUGAGGCUCGAAAGUGUGGGUAUCAAACAGGAUUAGAUACCCCAGUAGUC
rnacentral:rRNA from 1 species